rnacentral:rRNA from 1 species
CUGGUAGUGGGGGAUAACGUCCGGAAACGGACGCUAAUACCGCAUACGUCCUACGGGAGAAAGCAGGGGACCUUCGGGCCUUGCGCUAUCAGAUGAGCCUAGGUCGGAUUAGCUAGUUGGUGGGGUAAUGGCUCACCAAGGCGACGAUCCGUAACUGGUCUGAGAGGAUGAUCAGUCACACUGGAACUGAGACACGGUCCAGACUCCUACGGGAGGCAGCAGUGGGGAAUAUUGGACAAUGGGCGAAAGCCUGAUCCAGCCAUGCCGCGUGUGUGAAGAAGGUCUUCGGAUUGUAAAGCACUUUAAGUUGGGAGGAAGGGCAGUAAAUUAAUACUUUGCUGUUUUGACGUUACCGACAGAAUAAGCACCGGCUAACUCUGUGCCAGCAGCCGCGGUAAUACAGAGGGUGCAAGCGUUAAUCGGAAUUACUGGGCGUAAAGCGCGCGUAGUGGUUC